GUGCGUGGUGGCUCGAGGCGGGGUGGGGGCCUCGCCCUGCCUGGGCCCUCCCUGACCUCUCCGCUCCGCACAG
rnacentral:miRNA from 1 species